UACGUAGGGUGCGAGCGUUGUUCGGAAUUACUGGGCGUAAAGCGCACGUAGGCGGCUUUGUAAGUUAGAGGUGAAAGCCCGGGGCUCAACUCCGGAAUUGCCUUUAAGACUGCAUCGCUAGAAUUGUGGAGAGGUAAGUGGAAUUCCGAGUGUAGAGGUGAAAUUCGUAGAUAUUCGGAAGAACACCAGUGGCGAAGGCGACUUACUGGACACAUAUUCACGCUGAGGUGCGAAAGCGUGGGGAGCAAACAGG
rnacentral:rRNA from 1 species